UACGUAUGGGGCAAGCGUUAUCCGGAAUUAUUGGGCGUAAAGAGUGCGUAGGUGGUUACCUAAGCGCAAGGUUUAAUCUUGAGGCUCAACCUCAUUCUGCCUUGCGAACUGGGCUACUUGAGUGCAGGAGGGGAAAGCGGAAUUCCCAGUGUAGCGGUGAAAUGCGUAGAUAUUGGGAAGAACACCGGUGGCGAAGGCGGCUUUCUGGACUGUAACUGACACUGAGGCACGAAAGCGUGGGGAGCAAACAGGAUUAGAUACCCCUGUAGUCCCU
rnacentral:rRNA from 1 species